GACGAACGCUGGCGGCGUGCUUAACACAUGCAAGUCGAACGGAAAGGCCCUGCUUUUGUGGGGUGCUCGAGUGGCGAACGGGUGAGUAACACGUGAGUAACCUGCCCUUGACUUUGGGAUAACUUCAGGAAACUGGGGCUAAUACCGGAUAGGAGCACCUGCUGCAUGGUGGGGGUUGGAAAGUUUCGGCGGUUGGGGAUGGACUCGCGGCUUAUCAGCUUGUUGGUGGGGUAGUGGCUUACCAAGGCUUUGACGGGUAGCCGGCCUGAGAGGGUGACCGGCCACAUUGGGACUGAGAUACGGCCCAGACUCCUACGGGAGGCAGCAGUGGGGAAUAUUGCACAAUGGGCGGAAGCCUGAUGCAGCAACGCCGCGUGCGGGAUGACGGCCUUCGGGUUGUAAACCGCUUUCGCCUGUGACGAAGCGUGAGUGACGGUAAUGAGUAAAGAAGCACCGGCUAACUACGUG
rnacentral:rRNA from 1 species